rnacentral:rRNA from 1 species
UACGGGGGGAGCAAGCGUUGUUCGGAUUUACUGGGCGUAAAGGGCGCGUAGGCGGCCUCCGCAAGUCAGUUGUGAAAUCUCCGGGCUUAACCCGGAAAGGUCAACUGAUACUGCGGGGCUAGAGUGCAGAAGGGGCAACCGGAAUUCUCGGUGUAGCGGUGAAAUGCGUAGAUAUCGAGAGGAACACCUGCGGCGAAGGCGGGUUGCUGGGCUGACACUGACGCUGAAGCGCGAAAGCGUGGGGAGCGAACAGG